GGGGCUGUGGCUCAGCUGGGAGAGCACUACCAUGGCAUGGUAGGGGUCGCGAGUUCGAAUCUCGUCAGCUCCACCA
rnacentral:tRNA from 1 species